CCUACGGGAGGCAGCAGUGAGGAAUAUUGGUCAAUGGGCGAGAGCCUGAACCAGCCAAGUCGCGUGAAGGAUGACGGCCCUACGGGUUGUAAACUUCUUUUGUCAGGGAGCAAUUGAGUCCACGUGUGGGCUUAGCGAGAGUACCUGAAGCAAAAGCAUCGGUAACUCCGUGCCAGCAGCCGCGGUAAUUCGGAGGAUGCGACCGUUAUCCGGAUUUAUUGGGUUUAAAGGGUGCGUAGGCGGAAUGUUAAUUCAGUGGUAAAAGUUCGGGGCCCAACCCCGUCGUGCCGUUGAAACUGAUGUGCGUGAGUGGGCGAGAAGUAUGCGGAAUGCGUGGGGUAGCGGUGAAAUGCAUAGAUAUCACGCAGAACUCCGAUUGCGAAGGCAGCAUACCGGCGCCCAACUGACGCUGAAGCACGAAAGCGUGGGUAUCGAACAGGAUUAGAUACCCGUGUAGUC
rnacentral:rRNA from 1 species